rnacentral:lncRNA from 1 species
UAACUCGGAUUUGGUGCUCACGAUACUAAUAUACCCAUUCAUACUAAAAGAAAACUGUCUUAUAUUACAGAACAUAAAUCCCAGGUUCUAUAGACCUUUACAUAACUUACGAAUCAAUUAUCAUUACACAACAUAAUACUAACAAUAUUUAUUACAUUUACUACUUAAGUAAGCACAUGUGCUUAAUAAAAGACUAUUCCACAACUUUGUCUUUUCCUUUGCCUUUACCAGAUGGACCAACAACUUCAUUCUUAACUGAAAACAUUAUAUUUAACGCAAGGAUGAGCAACAAGCUUGCUCAACAAGGAAAUAAGCAGCUAAAUAUAAUGGAACAUAAAUAUUAUAUCAAUGAGGAUUCAAUAAUAAAUACUGAACAAGAUACUUCUUUAAAAGUGUUGAGUCUGAAAAAAAUUAGACUUUAGCAUGCUGUAAGGUCAAAUGACCAGUGAACUCUUUACUAGAAUUGACAGUAAUAAUACUACAAUUCAUGGAUACAUACAGUUUAUAAAAGCUGAUUUAUAUCCUAGACUCGUACUUUAGGGGAUCAGCCUAAGUACCCUACAUUGUGCACAACAUAACAGUCUAAUAACACUUGACAUGUCCUUCGGAAUCAUAUGUCCGGUACAAUUGCCCCUAUAAAAGGGUUGUUCGUUCACAGCAUUAUACAAGAAUCCGCACCACAAUAAAAUGGUUUGGAAAGCAUUAACUGAUAACUUCAUGAAUAAUAUCAAUAUAUCUCAACAAUUGUCUAACCGAAGUAAUGGUAUUGACAUACUUUCAAUGUAAACUCAUUCAAGAUAUAAAAGUUGAUAUUCUAUUCUUUUGAAGCUGAUUGGAAUAAAAAGGCUUUUUAACCUUAUAUUAUUCAUAAAUAAGGACAGACAGUUCAGAAAUUUAAAGAACCCGUCCACUGCAGAAUAAUUGCUCAAUAAAGAGUAAGAGUUAGAAACUUGCCUCGUUGGUAGAAUAUUGAUUCAGCUUAAUACGUUCUCACAGAGCCUACACAAUCAUUUGCAUUUUCAAGCUUAUUAGCUAAUUAGCUAAACCACAUAGCUUGUGUAUGAUCACACAUCACAUAAUUUUUGUGGUCAAGUUUGUAGUUAGAUUCCUAUAUUUUAUACAUUUUUCAAAUAUCUCAUCCAUAUUUUCACAUUAGUCCAUUUUCACUUUGAUGGGGUUCGACAUACUUGCAACAAGUAAUAGGAAUCAAGCAUAUAUGUUAGCCACAUAGUCAAGUCAUAUAUCACGUAGUUUCAGUGGUCAUGGAUAGAUUUCUUAUAUGUAAUACAUUUUUUAAAUAUCUCAUCCAUGUUUUUAUCUUCACCAUUUUUCUCUUUAAUGGUGUCACACAAUAUGUAUAUAGUUUACAUCUUAUUAGGAUUUAACACAUGAGUGUCUCAUGCCUUGUUUAUAGAAAUUCUAGCAUACAAGGUAGCUUAUUUUAUAUUUUUAAAGGUAUUUCUAAUUUUACAUGGUUAACUUUUGUCUAUCCCAUGAUUUAAAGCUUUACCCAAAACAGUUCCUUUGAGGUUAAAACAGUCCCACUCUAAAUCUUUUUAUUAGAUGUACCAAUUGGUUCCUCAGUUUAUUUUCAAUACUAACUAGCUAUCCAUAACUGCCAUAGCAGUUGCUUGUUAUGCCCAGCUGCUGCUGGCUAAAGGCAGUAGCUCCUUCUUCUUUUCUAAUCCCAUGUUCCUUUAAGUUUUACCAUGAAUCUGUAAUACUUCAUGAGAUUAACAGUUUUUAAGUUAUUCUUAGUUUCGAUUGGGUCUAACAAGCUCAGUACUGCAAUAGCAGUUAGUUGAGGCUGCCUAUAAAGUUAACUGCUAGCAGCCCUGUAAUUUUUCUUAGCUCAGAAUUUAACCUCAAGUCAGCUAUCAGUUGGAAUAGUAUAUAACUCCUAAAGUUAAACAAUAUGGGGAUGUUAGUACAAAAUCAUAUGAGUUACCUAGCUGCCUUAGGACAAUGUUGAUCCCAAACCUUGGUACAUAUUACUGCAGCAAAAAGAAAGUCAGAGAAAUCAACUCAGUUGCCCAAAAUGGCAUUGCAGUUACUUGAUUUCUGCUGCCAAGGACAGCUGCUAUUUGAUUAAGGUUCGUACUACUGCUAUAUUUAUUACUCACUGCUACCUUAUUAUAGCAGUCCUUGGGUUCUCAAAUGAUAUUAAGCUUGACUCUUUGGUUCAGCCAUUACUCAACACAAUGGACCAAAGGAAUUUAAGCUAGGAUUCUUACUACCAAAUUUAGCCAAAACUAUCAUGUGCUAAGGUUCAAAACUGCACUAUACUAUAGUGUAAUUAAAGGCUAACUGUGUCUAGCAGUUUGUUUUAGUACUCCAACAGUCCCCUAUCUUUCAUCAUGUUGACAGCUACUUUUGGCUUUGACAUAUGAAGUAUUAAAUUCUUAUGAGUUCUUCAUAGCCUGACUCACAUCCGUGUGCAAAGGGGUUGGACAAGCUAACUUUUUAACAGGUGGUUUUGUUUAGAAUUUGCUUUGUGCUUUACCAAGAUUUCCUUUGCUAGGCUAGCUUACAAGAUAUCAUAAUCUAUACAAACCCAACGAAUUUGUCAAUUCAAGAUGACAUUUAAAUUACUAGCUUGCCAACUGAGAGCUCGGAAAGAGCUCUGGCCCCACACCAACUGCUGUCACUGCUGCUACUACUGGCAGCAGCUUUGUGACCAAAUCAGCUAGUUCUCCCACUUCUUACUUCUAAUACACAUGUUUGUUUACAACCAUUUUUACAUAUGUUACACAUGACUUACUGAAGUAUCUAUUAAAUCUCCAUUUCAGUUUUAACAGUCAGUCAUGGUAGCAACAUAGCAUGUCAUUCAGCUAGACCUAUAACAGUUCACAUAGCAACUCAAGAAAAUCAUAUAGCAGUCCCCAUGUCUAUACCAUCCCUUUUAGGCAAGGUUUAGUGCUAAGCCAUCAAAACAGUCCUUAUAAUACAAUGACAGUUUGUAAAACAACACAUAUAGUGCUAGCAGUCAGUCAUCAUGGAAAUAUAGCAUAUCAUGCCAGUCCAGUCUAUUAUAAUAAUAGUCAGUAUAUCAUAAUAUGGCAGUUACUUAAGCAGUAUCAUGACUCAAGGAUCAAAAUAGCUCUUCAAUCUCUUAAUCACAAGGGUUAUAAAAUCAUGCACUUGAUAUAUACUAUAUAUUCAUGAUUUAAAGACUUGUAUACAAGGUAUUAGUACUCAAACAUAGGCUUCCAAAACAGUUUUGAUAAAAACUCAUCAUUGUAGUUCAUAGUAGUAUAGCACAGCAGCAAAAUAGCAUAGCAGUCAUUUUGGCACACAACAGUUAGUAUAGCAAAUUUUAAAGUCCAGGAUAGUCUUUAUGCCAAUUUCAAGCCUUUUUGGCAAGGUAUGAUACUAAGCUGCCAAAAUAGUCUUUAAGCUUCUAGUACAAGGAUUAACACAUCAUACACAUGCUAUAUAAUCAAUGUUCAUGAUUUAAGAAUCUAAAUACAAGGUUUCUAACUUUGGUUUUAAAACAGCCCCCAUCAUAGGCCUUAAAUUACUACAAGGUAGCAUAAUUAUAAAAUUUACAAGUAUUAGUGUUGGUGGUUUAAAAUUAUAAACAUCAUGUUAUAGUGUAUUAACCAUAUUAGAAGCAAGGGAUAGACAUUGCAAGUUAAGCUUCAAAUAGCAGUCAAUAUGGAGCUCAUUAUCCCAGUCCAUUUUACUUGCUUUGCUCAAAAGUUAAUCUACCUUAGACAUUCUAAGCAUGGCAUUCGAAUAAUAAGUCAUACUCAUCUCAUGCUAAGGCAAAAACUGACCUCUAAGCACCUUUACAAUGUAAAAAUAUGGACAUAAGAUUUUGCUUGACUGCACUCCCUUGUUAACACAGUUGACACCAACAGUCUAUUAACAGACAUUUUAUCAAACAGUUGGGGAGCAGUUCUUAUCUACUCAUACAAUACAUAUAUUCUUAGCUUAGUGAUCCCAGCCAUAUAGCUUAAAUAAUAACAAGCAUAAAAUGAUACAUUACAGUCCCAAAUCACAGCAAUACACCAAGCAACAGAAAUAGCACAACUGCCCCUUAUAACUAUUCCAGGCCAUUCGGCCAUAACAGAGCACAAAUGGUACGAAAAUGGACUGGAAAGAGGAUAGAAAAGAUUACCUUAGUAGCUUAGAGGUUGCACUUGAUUGCUGUUCACUUCUUUUUUCUUUCUCUAGCCGAACUCUUCUUACCUCACUAUCAAUCUGCUCUCUUUUUCUUUCUUUUUGUGCUAAAGUUUUGGGAAGUUAGUUAAGGACAUGGAGUUAUAUAGCUGGCCUUCCUUCUCUCGGUUAUACUGAGCUUGGUUCCUUCUACUGUUAAUUGCCUCACCUCCUAGUUGGCCCCUACACAGUCAUUAUUCUUAAUCUAGCUUGUGCAGUCCCUUCACAGCCACCCUAGCAGCAGACUCUACUCACUUGCUAAGCCUUAUCUAAUGUUUUCUUUGUCUGUUGGUUGUCUGCUAGCUAAACUAAUCAAGCUAACCAAGAAUUAACGUAGAAUCUGCAUAAGCUGCUAAUCAACUGCCUAAUGUAACUAUCUAAGUUAACUUCCUUCCUAUUUGGGCUGUUACAUGAAGCUUAAGGAAGGCUGGCAAGGAGAUUGGGCUGAGUUGAUUCUUUU